rnacentral:rRNA from 1 species
UACGUAGGGACCGAGCGUUGUCCGGAUUCAUUGGGCGUAAAGAGCUCGUAGGCGGCUGCUCAAGUCGAAUGUGAAAACUCGAGGCUCAACCUCGAGCCUGCAUUCGAUACUGGGCGGCUAGAGUCUGGUAGGGGGAUCUGGAAUUCCUGGUGUAGCGGUGGAAUGCGCAGAUAUCAGGAGGAACACCGGUGGCGAAGGCGGGAUCCUGGGCCAGUACUGACGCUGAGACGCGAAAGCGUGGGGAGCAAACAGG